GGGGGUGUAGCUCAGUGGUAGAGCAUUUGCCUAGCAUACACAAGGCCCUGGGCUUGAUCCCCAGCACCCCAA
rfam:Ictidomys tridecemlineatus contig001970, whole genome shotgun sequence.